rnacentral:rRNA from 1 species
GACAGAGGGUGCAAACGUUGUUCGGAAUUACUGGGCGUAAAGCGCGUGUAGGCGGCUCGAUAAGUCGGAUGUGAAAGCCCUGGGCUCAACCUAGGAAGUGCAUUCGAAACUGCCGAGCUUGAGUUCUGGAGAGGAAGGCGGAAUUCUCGGUGUAGAGGUGAAAUUCGUAGAUAUCGAGAGGAACACCGGUGGCGAAGGCGGCCUUCUGGACAGCAACUGACGCUGAGACGCGAAAGCGUGGGGAGCAAACAGG